GGGCCCGCACAAGCAGCGGAGCGUGUGGUUUAAUUCGAUGCAACACGAAGAACCUUACCAGGGCUUGACAUGUUGGAAGUAGUGAACCGAAAGGGGAACGACCUGUUAAGUCAGGAGCCAUCACAGGUGCUGCAUGGCUGUCGUCAGCUCGUGCCGUGAGGUGUCGGGUUAAGUCCCAUAACGAGCGCAACCCCUGUUGCCAGUUAUUUUCUCUGGCGAGACUGCCCCGCAAAACGGGGAGGAAGGCGGGGAUGAUGUCAAGUCAGUAUGGCCCUUAUGCCCUGGGCUACACACACGCUACAAUGGGUGGUACAAUUGGUUGCAAUGGAGCGAUCCGGAGCUAAUCCGUAAAACCACUCACAGUUCGGAUUGCAGGCUGAAACCCGCCUGCAUGAAGUCGGAGUUGCUAGUAACCGCGUAUCAGCAUGGCGCGGUGAAUACGUUCUCGGGCCUU
rnacentral:rRNA from 1 species